rnacentral:lncRNA from 1 species
GAUGGACAAAUUGGUGUAAAGUUUUUUUUUGUUUUGUUUUGUUUUGUUUUGUUUUGAAACAGGGUCUCACUCUGUCGCCCAGGCUGGAGUGCAGUGGCACAAUCACAGCUCACUGCAGCCUCAACCUCCGAGGCUCAAGGGAUUCUCCCAUCUCAGCCUCCUGAGUGGCUGGGACUACUCAAUCUAAAGAUGAUAAAAGAAUGAUUAAAGAAACAAUCCAUGGUAUAUCCACAUGACAAUGU